CUUCUUAAUUUUACUUCCAGUGACUUGAUUCACCUAAAUUUAAAUUGAUUUUUUCUUUUUUCCUCAUAAUAAUUUCCAUUCAUAUUUCUUCAUCACAAUUCCUAAAGUAUGCAUUGAAUGGCAAGAAUAUACUUCUUGGAACAGAAUUAGAGUUUAUCCUUUAACAUAAAAUGCUUAUUGGUUAAAGGCAGUUACAUUUAAUAUUUUUGGGGGGCUAAGUUACAGCAGGUCCUUGAUGCUCAAAAGCUGUUAAUGUGUUUCAGAAAUGUAGUGGCACACAUUUGCAAAGUGCUUCCUUGUUUUUAUUUUUACUUGGUGUGAUUCAGUUUUUGAAAAGGCCCCGAGGGUCUGCUGACUCAUGUUUUGGGCUUUUUUCUCUAAGUGAGAAGUCUUCCGAUUGCCAUAGCAGUAAGUGCAAAUGAAAGAAAUGAAUGAAAAGCUUCUAAUUGGACAUCUAGAGGUGGCUUUCCUCUAUUAUGUGUUCUCCUGUCACAUGUCCUGUCAGCUUACGCUAGAAAGUGUCCCUUCUGGUAGACAACAAGCUCAAGCCCUGUGA
rnacentral:lncRNA from 1 species